ACGGAAGGCAGCAGUGGGGAAUAUUGGGCAAUGGGCGCAAGCCUGACCCAGCAACGCCGCGUGAAGGAAGAAGGUUUUCGGAUUGUAAACUUCUGUCCUUGGUGACGAAGGAAGUGACGGUAGCCAAGGAGGAAGCCCCGGCUAACUACGUGCCAGCAGCCGCGGCAAUACGUAGGGGGCAAGCGUUGUCCGGAAUGACUGGGCGUAAAGGGCGUGUAGGCGGCUUUUUAAGUCUGAAGUGAAAGUCCUGCUUUCAAGGUGGGAAUUGCUUUGGAGACUGGAAGGCUUGAGUGCGGAAGAGGUAAGUGGAAUUCCCAGUGUAGCGGUGAAAUGCGUAGAGAUUGGGAGGAACACCAGUGGCGAAGGCGACUUACUGGGCCGUAACUGACGCUGAGGCGCGAAAGCGUGGGGAGCAAACAGGAUUAGAUACCCUGGUA
rnacentral:rRNA from 1 species